rnacentral:rRNA from 1 species
GAUGAACGCUGGCGGCGUGCCUAAUACAUGCAAGUCGAGCGAACAGACGAGGAGCUUGCUCCUCUGACGUUAGCGGCGGACGGGUGAGGAACACGUGUAUAACCUACCUAUAAGACUGGGAUAACUUCGGGAAACCGGCGCUAAUACCGGAUAAUAUAUUGAACCGCAUGGGUCAAUAGUGAAAGACGGUUUUGCUGGCACUUAUAGGUGGAUCCGCGCCGCAUUAGCUAGUUGGUAAGGUAAAGGCUUACCAAGGCAACGAUGCGUAGCCGACCUGAAGGGGUGAUCGGCUACACUGGAACUGAGACACGUCCCCGACUCCUACGGUAGGCCACAGUAGGGACUCCUACGCGAGGGGGGAGUGCUUGACGGAGCAACGCCGCGUGAGUGAUGAAGGUGUUCGGCUGGUAAAACGCUGUUAUCAGGAGAGAACUAAUGUGUAAGCAACUGUGCAGGUAUUGACGGUACCUGCUCAGAAAGCCCCGGCUAACUCCGUG